AAAAAAGUCAACGCGUGUUGGAUGAGAACCUAAAGGUUCGAGCCGAGCGAAGCGAGACAACGUUGUCGCAGACAACGGCCCGAAGGGCGAGGCCAAAGGCCGAGUUAUCCUGCACGCCCCACCA
rnacentral:sRNA from 1 species